CUGAUGGCACCUACAGCAUCAGCUGCACAGUAUUUUAGGAGGGGUCUCAGGGCUCCCUCCCUUCCCUCUGCCGAUGGCUGAGCACCAGUGACAAAGACUGCAAAAGAAAAUAUGAGCCCAAGUGUGCCAUGAAGAUCCUGCUGUGGAAAACUGCUCCACCCUCCUCACAAGCCAAUCCUGUUCCUAGAGAACUCAUGAACUGGAAGUGAAAAGCAAUCAAGUUGAUUUCUGUGGACACUCGAAUGGCUCUUCCAGCAGUGCUGGGGAACGAGCACGUGGAUCUCAUCAACUUCUGGAUCAGUUCCUGUGGCUGAGCUGAAUCCUGUGUCAAAGCCAGGCCCAGAGGCCACAGCUGCACUCCCAGCAGUGCUGGAUUCUUUGGGAUUGGCUGUAAUUCAUGGAAAGCACAUUAAAAAAAUUAUUAC
rnacentral:lncRNA from 1 species